rnacentral:lncRNA from 1 species
GGCGGCUCAGUGCGGGGGGCCGGCCGCGGCCGUCAGCAGCACCCCGUGCGCCCGUCCUGCCCCUGUUGGGGUGAAAUAACGCGGGACCCAGAACCGCACGGGGCCCACGGAGGUGCGGGGGGAACUUUAUCGGUUGGAUCAGAGCGGCGUGGAAGUUCUGGGAGCGCUCGUCACGUGCACGAGGAGUCCCGGGCGGCACGGGGACGGCACGGGGCUCCUCACAGCGCUGAGGUGUGAGGAACAGCAGCUUCCAGAAGAAGUGACGUACUGAGCUGCUUCAUAGCCUUCCCACAGCUUCUGCCACUGAACACGGAGCCAACAGAUCCUACAUGCCCUGGCUAUGCAGCAGUGCUGCAUGGAUGCUCCAGGCCCAUCCCAGCCAGAGCGGAGCCGAACGAACAGCACACCCAUCCCCGUGGUGCUGCAGUACCAGUGCCAAUGUCCUGCCAGUGUUUGCUGGCAGCUCAGCAGCCUGCAGUGUGGCUGCAUGCCUGCGAGAGGGCUGCCCUGGGGCUUCCCGCCUGUAUUCCUGCAAACCCCGCCCAGCUACCUUUGAGUCUGAAACCGAAAUGAUGGGGAAAUUACAGAAUUACAGCACCAGUAUGCACA